rnacentral:rRNA from 1 species
CCCUUAGAUGUUCUGGGCCGCACGCGUGCUACACUGAGUGGAUCAGCGGGUCAGGUUGUGCGAAAGCGUUUCCUAAUCUUUAAAUCCGCUCGUGAUGGGGAUUGACGGUUGCAAUUUUCUGUCAUGAACGAGGAAUACCUUGUAAGCGCGGGUCAUCAUCCCGCGCUGAAUACGUCCCUGCCCUUUGUACACACCGCCCGUCGCUCCUACCGAUGAAUCGUCCGGUGAAGUUCACAGAGUGGCGGUUCGUGGAGUUGCUCGCGAAGUGAAAUGGACCUCACGAUUUAGAGGAAGGAGAAGUCGUAACA